rnacentral:rRNA from 1 species
GAUGAACGCUAGCGGCAGGCUUAAUACAUGCAAGUCAAGGGGGUAGCAAUACAACCGGCGCACGGGUGAGUAACACGUACACAACAUACCAUAUACUGAGGUAUAGCUUCGGGAAACUGAAGGUAAUCCCUCAUAGUAUUGUGAAAGGGCAUCUUUUUACAAUUAAAGUUUCGACGGUAUAUGAUUGGUGUGCGUUUGAUUAGCUAGUUGGUAAGGUAACGGCCUACCAAGGCGACGAUCUGUAGCUGGUCUGAGAGGAUGGCCAGCCACACUGGAACUGAGACACGGUCCAGACUCCUACGGGAGGCAGCAGUGGGGAAUAUUGGACAAUGGGGGCAACCCUGAUCCAGCCAUGCCGCGUGUGUGAAGAAGGCCUUCGGUUG